rnacentral:tRNA from 1 species
GGGCCCGUGGUCUAGUCGGUUAACCUUAGGGGCCGAGGGACGCUUCCCUCACGCGGAAGAGGUCGCCGGUUCGAAUCCGGCCGGGCCCACCA